rnacentral:rRNA from 1 species
AUACGGAGGGUCCGAGCGUUAUCCGGAAUCAUUGGGUUUAAAGGGUCCGUAGGCGGGAAUCUAAGUCAGUGGUGAAAUCUUGCAGCUCAACUGUAAAAUUGCCAUUGAUACUGGAUUUCUCGAAUUAGUGUGAAGUGGUUAGAAUGUGUAGUGUAGCGGUGAAAUGCAUAGAUAUUACACAGAAUACCAAUUGCGAAGGCAGAUCACUAACACUAUAUUGACGCUAAGGGACGAAAGCGUGGGGAGCGAACAGGAUUAGAUACCCUAGUAGUCC